CGACUACUCGUCCUCAGUCCCCUCCACCCCCAGCAUCAGCCAGCGGGAGCUGCGCAUCGAGACCAUCGCUGCCUCCUCCACCCCCACACCCAUCCGAAAGCAGUCCAAGCGGCGCUCCAACAUCUUCACGCUAAUGAACCGGCGGCCGGAAGGCUGUUUGCCCAAGGCGACACAGAGGGUUAGCUGGCCCAGCUAGAGUCAGAGCCCAGGCCUCCCCGUCGCCUUCCGGCUCUUUUUCCGUUACCCCACUGCCGAGGGGAAAAUUCAUGCUUUCCACCCACCGCUGUGAUUGGUUUAACAAAGGCUUAGCCAUCUUUUCCUGGGCUUCACCACGCUGCCUCGUUCCUCCCUCUCAGUCUCGGAAGGGUGCUGACCUGGACCGGGAGAAGAAGGCUGCCGAGUGCAAGGUGGAC
rnacentral:lncRNA from 1 species